UACUCCUUUAGGGGCGAUUGGGCCCUCUAGAUGCAUGCUCGAGCGGCCGCCAGUGUGAUGGAUAUCUGCAGAAUUCGGCUUACAAGUACCGUGGGGAAAGUUGCAAAGCACUUUGAAGAGAGAGUUAAAGAGGACGUGAAACCGAUGAGAUCGAAACGGAUAGAGUCAGCGUAUCUGACCUGUAUUCAGCCAUCCAAUUGUCAGUCGUCAUGUGUUGAUUUCCAGACUGGGACAGUGUGUGGCUAGCUGAUUGUUGUGUGGUGCAUUUGCAGGUGGAGUGCGUCGAGGCACUCGGUGUGGCGACAUGAGCUCAGUUUUGAGGCCAGCUUGCUGGUACCCGAAUUGGAGGAAUGUUGUUCAUGCUGAGUGGAAUUGGCAAGGCCUACGAGUCCGGUUGGGCAUCGAGCUGGCAGUCAGCGUCGGUCGCAUGCGACACGUGCUGUGCAGUCAGUUCGGUCCUAGUCGAGCUCACAAGCCUAUUCUCGGCGUAAAAGCUGGUCAUCUAUCCGACCCGUCUUGAAACACGGACCAAGGAGUUUAUCGUGUGCGCAAGUCAUUGGGCGUUGAAAACCCAAAGGCGCAAUGAAAGUGAACGCAUCCGCAAGGAGCUGACGUGCGAUCCCGGGUACUGCGGUGCCCGAGCGCAGCAUGGCCCCAUCCCGAUUGCUUGCAAUGGGGUGGAGGAAGAGCGUACGCGGUGAGACCCGAAAGAUGGUGAACUAUUCCUGAGCAGGAUGAAGCCAGAGGAAACUCUGGUGGAAGUCCGAAGCGAUUCUGACGUGCAAAUCGAUCGUCUGACUUGGGUAUAGGGGCGAAAGACUAAUCGAACCAUCUAGUAGCUGGUUCCUUCCGAAAGCCGAAUUCCAGCACACUGGCGGCCGUUACUAGUGGAUCCGAGCUCGGUACCAAGCUUGGCGUAAUCAUGGUCAUAGCUGUUUCCUGUGUGAAAUUGUUAUCCGCUCACAUUUCACACAACAUACGAGCCGGAAGCAUAAAGUGUAAAGCCUGGGGUGCCUAAUGAGUGAGCUAACUCACAUUAAUUGCGUUGCGCUCACUGCCCGCUUUCAGUCGGGAAACUGUCGUGCAGCUGCAUUAUGAAUCGGCCAACGCGCGGGGAGAGGCGGUUUGCGUAAUGGGCGGCUCUUUCGCUUCUUGGU
rnacentral:rRNA from 1 species